GAUGAACGCUGGCGGCGUGCCUAAUACAUGCAAGUCGAGCGAACAGAUGAGGAGCUUGCUUCUCUGACGUUAGCGGUGGACGGGUGAGUAAUACGUGGAUCAUAUACCUAUAAGACUGGGAUAACUUCGGGAAAUCGGAGCUAAUACCGGAUCAUAUAUUGAACCGCAUGGUUCAAUAGUGAUUGACGGUUUUGCUGUCUCUUAUCGAUGGAUCCGCGCCGCAUUCGCUAGUUGGUAUGGUAACGGCUUACCAAGGAGACAAUGCGUAGCCGACCUGAGAGGGUAAUCGGCCACACUGGAACUGAGACACGGUCCAGACUCCUACGGAAGGCAGCAGUAGGGAAUCUUCCGCAAUAGGCGAAAGCCUGACGGAGCAACGCCGCGUAAGUGAUGAAGGUCGUCGCAUCGUAAAACUCUGUUAUUAGGGAAGAACAAAUGUGUAAGUAACUAUGCACGUCUUGACGGUACCUAAUCAGAAAGCCACGGCUAACUACAUG
rnacentral:rRNA from 1 species